ensembl:lncRNA LINC00680 long intergenic non-protein coding RNA 680
GUCGCUGUGGCUGGUUCUGCGGUGUGCGGCCAGCCAUGGAGCGCUCUGGGCCCAGCGAAGUGACAGGCUCAGACGCAUCGGGACCGGACCCGCAGCUUGUGGUCACCAUGGGCUUCACGGGGUUCGGGGUUCGGUAAAAAAGCUCACACAUUUGACUUGGAAGCAAUGUUUGAACAAACUCAAAGAACAGCUGUGGAAAGAAGUCACAAAACACUGGGCCACCAGGAACACACCUGUAGCCCAGCAAAGUUGAGGCCAUCGACUGGCUCAUCACAACAAGGAAGGCUGUGCACCACUGGGACCCAGCAGCAGCUCAGCAGCAGCAGUGAGAGGGCCUUGGGAAAGACUUGGAGGGUUUGGCUUAUACAAGACCAGAUUACAGAGGGGUAUUGAUUUGCCUUGCCCCCGCCCCCACCAUCACAGUGUGUCCCUGUCCAGUGUUGGUGCUGUGUGGCAUUGCUUGUGUCCAUAGGAGUCCAUCAAGGCAGAGCGGCAGAGCGGCAAGCAGAGCGGCAAGGCAGUUCAACCCAAUGGAAAUGGAUUGAAAGAGUGAAAGUCACUGGUCUCAAAGAAUCUACGGAAUUUAGCAUUUUGAAAAUCACAGAGCAAUUUUGGGUAGGUAUUCACAUGCACUAAAAAACCAGGCAAACAUCUGACUCCCAGGAUAAAGUGACUGAGAGCAGUAGAAGACUUGUUGAGCCUUAAGGAAUAAGAGGAAAAUUAUGUUAUGAAGUGCAGGAACAGCACAGACCCAGACGAGGGGAUGCAGCCCGGAGCCAGUAACCCGGCGCCUCCUCCUCCCCAGGGCGCAGCGCUGGCUGCUCCCCGGAUACCGUGAUCACACGUCCCAGGUCCUGAGAGCGCCUCAUAGGUAGACAGUUCUUUGGGACUUUUGGGACGCAGCACUUGAAGAGAGGUUUACCUAAACUUUCCUCCUGGGAGCCUGUCAUCAUUUGAAAGUAACAGAAGAAAGCUGUCAGGCUGAGGAAAGUUUCAACAGGCACUUGGUGAGAAUGGGAAGCAUCCAUUCAUUGGGAAAUCACGGGGACAGAGGAGGAAUUCACGGGAUCAGAGCACUGAGAAACUCCAGAGGCUUCUGGUUCACCGCCCUGAUUCCACAGAUGUGGGUCAGAGGCAGAGAUGGAAGUUGGAAUGGACAAGCCUGCCCUCUCCUCAGCUCUCCAUGGCUCUGUCCUCAGGCUGUUUCUGCAAUUUGACAUGAGGCCUGGCCCCAGGGAAACCAGUGGGGCCUCAUCUCCUCCCUGUGCUGCUCUGAGGUGGAGCCUUCUCAGGGUCAGUCCAGCUCUGGAGCCCCUCUCCAGCUCGGUCACCAAAGCUGUCUGGUCCCAGGGCAGUGUGGAGUGACAGGCACGCCAGCCAAUCCAAUCGGCCAUUUCAUACCCAAUGCAUGUGACUGAUAAAGAGAUAACACCCUGUCUCCAAGACACAGGCUUUACAUAAACAGCUUUAAUGACUUCUUCACUUAGGGACAAGACUCCUUAGUGGUGGAACCUCAGGCAUCCAUGCAGGAUGUAAGAAAGCUCCCGUAUAUACAUGAACUGAGAAGUGUGUAGAAGAGUAAAUACUGUAAUAGGUAAUAAAAUGUAUGUAUUUUUAUUUA